rnacentral:rRNA from 1 species
GGAGGAUGCGAGCGUUAUCCGGAUUUAUUGGGUUUAAAGGGAGCGCAGANGGANGNUUAAGUCAGUUGUGAAAGUUUGCGGCUCAACCGUAAAAUUGCANUUGAUACUGGCUAUCUUGAGUGCAGUUGAGGNAGGCGGAAUUCGUGGUGUAGCGGUGAAAUGCUUAGAUAUCACGAAGAACUCCGAUUGCGAAGGCAGCNUNCUAACCUGCAACUGACAUUGAUGCUCGAAAGUGUGGGUAUCAAACAGGAUUAGAUACCCUGGUAGUCCACACGGUAAACGAUGAAUACUCGCUGUUUGCGAUAUACAGCAAGCGGCCAAGCGAAAGCGUUAAGUAUUCCACCUGGGGAGU